AAUCAUAUGUGAACUCAAAGAAGUUCACUUUUGAUUUUUGUCUCCAUGUCGUCCAUUAGUAUGAGAAGCGUUUCAACUGUCUUGAUAUUCAUCAUCGUUGCUAUUUUCAUUGUGCAACUAGCUUUGAUUAAUGCAGAUCAAGGUGGGGAUGAGUUCAGAACCGAUCGAUAUGAUCCAAGAACACCACCAGCACCACAGGGAAACUUGAAUCAUGGCAUGAUUCCUCCUGAUUCGAGCCCGCCACCACCAAUUUAUACUUAAAUCUUGUCGUGUUUACGAAUUUCAAAACUUAUAUACCUACAAUAUUGGAUACAUUUUGUGUGUUUAAAUUUGAAUAUGCCAACAAAAAGAAUACAUUGUGGUUGUUA